rnacentral:lncRNA from 1 species
UUUUUUUUUUUUUUUUUUUGCCGAAGCGAAAUAAACACACACACCCAAACAAUGAACAGACACGCAGAGAUAACACCGAACACACCGGCCCAAAAGAGCAAUCUAAGGUGGGACCCACGAGAAACAUCCAUCCAACCAAUUGGUUCCAAAACUUAUGUCGCCCUUGGCCUAUAACAAAAACUGUAGCCCUUGGCCUAUAACAAUUAUAGAGUGUGUUUGGAUAGGAGAUUAUUUGAAAUUUUAUUUGGAAUAAUUACUGUAGCACUUUUUGUGAUGUGAUGUAUGUGAGAUAAAAAGGUGAUUGGAAAUAUAAAAAGGUGUAUUGAAAAUUGUAAUGGUGAUGUAAAUAAAUAAAUUUGGGCAAAUAGUCUCCUGACAGUUUUAGAAUCUUUCCGAGGUUUCUAAUAAUUUUACUUGGCACUUCAAAUUUUAAAAAAUUUCAUUUGUCUGCCUUACUUUAAAUUUUUUGUAUCAUUUACAAACUAUUUUAAAAUAUAAUAUUAAAAAAUUGAUUUUGGAAGAGUAAAUAUAAUCUCAUUUCAAAUUUUCCAUUUGUUAUUUUACUUUUUAUUAUAAAAAUGCGAAUAUAGUAAUAAUAAAUGAAAAGUAAAAACAAAAAGUAUGAAUGUUUAUUGUGAUUGGAAAAAAUAUAGUGCGUUUUUUAAAUACCAAAGGUGCGUUUGAUAAAACUGAAAUUUGAAAUUAUUAAAUUAUUGAAUUGUUAAGUAUUAAAUCAAAUACAUUUGAGUGUAUAUCACAUUCAGUCACUUAUUUUUGAAAACAAAUUUUGUCUAAACAAUUCAGUACCACUUAAUUAAUUCAGAUAUUCAAUUUUUGAUUAUCAAACAUAUCUAAACAUAUUAAAAUCUGAACCCAUUAAGUUUAACAAAUUUAAAUGUUGAAUUGAAUUAUCAAACAAAACCCUAGAGUUAAUAAUUGAAAGUUUAUUUGAGCACUUUUAAGGUAACAAAGAUAAUAUUUUCGUUACUGUAAUGUAUUUUUGUCAGGACCCAGAUUCAAAGGCUGGUCCAAGUAAUUUUUGGAUUGAAAUUUACUAGUCCAAAAUGGUUAAUCCAAAUUACUCAAUAGCUAUUGGAUCCAGGUGCGUAAACCCAUUCCAUUUCCUUCACAAUUCCGAUGUGGGAUAUUACAUUCUUCCCACCUUUAAGACUUUGCAUUCUUGCAAAACCCAUCAAAAUUCAAACUGUUUAUUUGGUCAUAUUUGAACUCUUCCCAAUUCCGAUGUGGGAUAUUAUAUUCUUCCCCUCUUUUAAGACAUUGCAUUCUCACAAAAUCCUUCAGAAUUCAAAUUGUUCACUGUUCGAACUCUAGAAGUGGUUACAAGCUCUAGAGGUGGUCUCCGCCGGAUGUGACACUUAGUUCCUUGCACUUUUUUGCAUAGUUGGAACCAUAACCCAUUGACCCAAAUUCAUCCAAUGCAGAGAUCACGUGAGAUUCGCUCUGAUACUAUCACGAUCUAGUCCAAGAGUUGAUUCAAGUAAUUUUUAGAUCAAAAUCCAUUGACCCAAAAUGGUUAACCCAAAUUACUCAAUAAUCAUUAGACCCAAGUACUUAAGCCCAUUCCAUUUCCUUCCCACUUCCGGCAUGGGAUACUACAGUUUCAAGUCAAUUGAAGAAGUUCUAUAAAUCGUUUACAUAUUUUUGAAUUUUUUUUGUUCAAGUUGAUGGCUUGAAAACUAAAAAAUACAACAUGCUAAAAAUUACAUAUAAACUUGUUUGUAAAGUUUUUAAGUUGGUGCAAAAAAGUAUUGUCAUGAUUGUAGAUUAUUGCAAGUUAUUGUUAAAAGUAGGGAAAAUGGCCAUUUUCGUCCCUAAAUUUUUUAUUUCUGUCGAUUUAGUCCCUAACUUUUAUUUCUGGUCAAUUUGAUACAUAAACUUAAUUUUCGAGUCCAAUUAAAGCCUUCUACGGCGGCGCCGCCGUCUAAAAGCAAUUUGGCCCCUAAUUUAACAUCAAACAAGGGCAUUUUGGGAACUUUAAAUUAUCUUCUCUCCACUACCAACCUCCGCCACCAACCACCCACCUCCUCCUCUUAUCCUCCUCUUUCCAUCCACUUUUGAAUUUGGAUAGGAGGGUGACAAUAUGGAGGGUCAAACUGAAAUCCGCAAAGGCAAAGGUUGGUGGUGUCAAACCACACGGCUUUGUUGUUAGGCAGCAACUGGAACUGUAUGGUUGAAACUCCAGCAUUUUCAGAACGAAUUUCCCAAUGACCUCGGAAAUUUGUACGGAAUUCGGGUUCCUUGCCGGAGGGCUGCUGGGUGCCAUCAGGAGGUUGCUGGAAGCCAUCAAAGUUACUGCCAUCUUGGCCUCCAAAACCAAAUUGAAUGCUGCCGAAGGGAUUUCUUAUGCCAAGGGAGAAGCCAUCCUUUUGGACUUGGCUGAUGGGUGUCCUGGCAAAGGUACCAAGGAACGCAAGGGGAAGAACAAGAAAGGCUUUGAACAGAACAACCAUUAAUUCCAAAAUCCCCAAUAUCGGAGAAUGCCCUUUCAUGGGUUCCGUGAAAUAUUUGUCUCCCCUCGCACAGGCCCCCGAUCUCCGUUGGCGCCAUAGGGUCCUCCUCUGCGUACCAGUUGGUUCGAUGCCAGCUCCGCCAGCUCGUGCCCGAUCAUGCUUAUCAUUCGCAUUCGGAGGGGCCAGUGCUCCUGGUCCGCGCCUCCGGGCACUGCUUCCCGGAGUUGCCCACCCAGGUGUACGGUAGUGUGUAGCCCACCACGGACGGGAAGGUGAAGUAGUGGAAGCCGCAAACAGCCCGGCAAAAAUCUUGGACAGUGACACCCCCGGAGGUAAGGAUGAGGUAGAUGCCGUUCUUGUGGUCGACGGGGAAGCGCUUCGAUCGGACCGCUGUGGCGAUGACCUGCUGCAUGGAGAGGCGGGUGAGGUGGGUGCCCUAGGAGCAGCGGGGGUCGGAGUACUCCCCAACGACGAGAACGGAGCGCUAGUCUGGUCGGUGUAGAAGGAGACGGUGCGCCACCACUGGGAGACGGAGGGGGAAGGAGCGGCGCGGCGAUCGGAGGUGGAGAUGGAGAGGAGGAAGUCCUUGAUGAGCAGCUGGUGGGAGGCGACCCACCAACCUUCAGAUGAGGUAGAUGUUGAUCGGGGAGGAGAGGACGAGGCCCAUGUUGUAGCGAAGGUCGACCAAGUCGGAGGAGCCCUCAAAUUUCUUGGAGGCGGAGAGGGACUUAGGGGCAAGCUUUGGGUUGAACUAGGAGUCCGACUGUGUUUGGCAGAGUCUGCUGCUUAGCGGAGGAGUUGGAGGUGGCAGCAUCAUUGUUGAAGGGGACGAUGAGGAGGAAGAGAAGAAUUACUACUGUUUUAGUAAUCAACAUUUUGUGUAUAAUUCUUGUUUAAUGUCACUUCUUUUUAAUUUUUGUUACCGCCCCAUCAUUAAAAUUCCAAAAAUACCCCUUUUGGGUUGCUCAAUUAGGAACUUGAAGGAAACGGUGCGGUGGCUCCGCCGUUGAAUUCCUUAAUUGGAAUCGAAAUAUAAGUUUAAGGAUUAAAUUGGUUACAAAUAAUAUAUAAGGACUAAAUCGACAGAAAUAAAAAGUUUUGGGACUAAAUUGGCCAUUUUCCCUUAAAAGUAUUGUAAAUCAUUCAAAAUUUUGAGUAAUUUAAUAUUUCUUGUCCGAGCCAAUGAUAGAAAAACUAUUAAAGAAAUUUUCAAUCUUGUUAUCACGUUUUAAAUUUUUAUUAAAGAGAUAAAUUUGAUAUGUUAUGACAAUUAAGAGGUCACAUUAGAUGGAUAAAUUUGAAAUGAAAUUGUAUUCUUUAUCCCGAAAUGAAGUUUUUAUUAUUAUAUUUUGAAAUAGGUUUCAAAUGUUACAAAAAAAGUUUAAAACAGGAGAGCCACAUGAGAUUUUUUUAAAGUUUGAGAAUGCCAAGUGAAGUUAUAAAAAAUCUACUAAGUAUCCCUAAUAGUAAAAAAACACACUUUCAUUUAGUUCCAAGUUCGCAGCAUUAACAACCACCCAGGAAACACAUUGGAUUGAGCUGUUCCGUUACAUUACUUCUGCUUCUUAGUGACCGUGCCACACCGGACAAUACAAGUCUACUUACAAACACUGAUUGCAUGACAUUCCUAAUCGGUAGACACUAGACACAUAUGUGAAAUUCAUAAAAUCAAGAGCGUUGAGUCAUCUUUUGGUUUAUUUAUGUCGUUGCUUAAGUCGUAUUUUUGGUUUAGUAUAAGAUUUUUCAAACAAAUUUAGUCUCUGCCUUUGUCACCAUUGAUCAUAAUCUGGAACACCAACUAACUUGGAGCAAGUAAACAGGAAGACUGGUGGAAAGUUCCUCUGCCCAAAAAGAAUGUUGAAUCCUAAAUUCCCCUUUCUCUUGGCAUUUGUUUUGCUGCAAGCAGAACUGUGAACCCGUAAUACAAGGAAAGAAGAUGGAAUAAUGGACAGGGGACGGAAAGAGAAGGCUACUGGCUUUGUUUGAUUUGCUCUUUUGAGAAAAAAAAAAUCCCAAAAUUUCUGAACCUUAUGUGCAACCACCUCUAUAACACAUUCAUUCUUUUCAGUAAAGUGCUACAAUCUAAAAGCUCUUUCAAAAUAAUGCUACGCAAACUAUUUGUUGUUUAAUUGGAGGCUGCAUGGUCGAAUGUUAUAUCUUUUGUUUUAUAUUUAUGCAUAUAUUUUCAGAUAAAGACUCCACCUGCAAAAUGAUCUUCACACAAGGUUUAGAAAUAAACCAAACCAAUAUGUCCGCAUAAACUUAGCAACAUGAUGAGGAUUAGAAGUUGCAUUAUUUUGUUAAAAAUAAUAUAGAGAAACUUGUAAGGUAGCUUUACAACUUAACUUAUAGUUUACAUCUUCGGUCCUAUGGUCUCUCGAGGAUCAAUAUCUAGGUCGUAUACUACAUUUCAUGCUAUCUUCAUCUAUUUCUAUUCUAUGGACAAAGAUAACAAUCUCAUAUUGUAGAGAAACUAGCAUGAGCAGAGACUGAAAGCAAAACCUUCUUCCCUCUGUCUCACACGUUACCUCUUGUGUAGUGCCAAAACCAAAUAUAUGAU